GCGCUGGUGGUGUAAUGGCAGCACCCCUGACCUCCACUCAGACGGUAGCGGUUCAAGUCCGCUCCGGCGCU
rnacentral:tRNA from 2 species